CUCUGCCUGAGGACACCCUUGGCCAUCCCUGUCGCCUGACCUGUCUCACAACAUCUUGGAUAGACACUCCUUGAGGCGGAGUCCCAGGUCCUUCUUGUGGUUCAGCAACCAGCGGUCACUGGCUGCCGUGAUGUCCAGCACCAGCCAGCCCUCGUCCCCAGAUCGGAGCGUCUGAAGAUCCAAAAAGAACAAGUCAGACUCCCUGUGGACAUGAAAGAACAAUUAACCAAGGGCUGAGGUCGCA